UACGGGGGGCGAAGCGUUGUUCGGAAUUAUCGUGGGCGUAAAGGGCUCGUAGGCGGCCAACUAGUCAGACGUGAAAUCCCUACGGCUUGAACCGGGGAACCUGCGUCUGAAUACUGGAUGGCUUGAGGUGGUGGGAGAGGGAUGGCGGAAAUUCCAGGUGAGCGGUGAAAUGCGUAGAUAGUCUGGAGGAACACCAGUGGCGAAGGCGGUGCUCGUGGCCGGAACUGACGCUGGAGGAGCGAAAGCGUGGGGAGCAA
rnacentral:rRNA from 1 species